CGCCAUUGCUCCAUCCACGAGUCAUACCCUUCUAUAGAAGUAAAAUUGCCUUGCUGAGAAAAUUAAAUUUAUAUUCAAGUGCUAUUUCUUUUGCGGCACGGAAAAUUUGCUUCUAACAAUUUGGUGGCCUGUAUGGGGAAGCCAUUCUCCUCCAGGGGCAGUCUCCGGUCCUCUCUCGUGAGGAGGUGCACCCCACGGCCUCGUUGCGGUGGGCUCAGGGGUAAGGAAUCAAGACCCACUUGGUGUGAUGAAUAAACCUGGACUCUCAGCACCAUGGAAAGAAACCAGCUGGCGACCUCGGGAAAGGAUCCUUACAUACAGCGGCGACUAGGAAACUCUGUGCACAGACCAAGAGGGAAGAAAAAUAGAGACUUUCUUGCUCUUUGCUACACUGGGAGCAACCGGAGAGCUUGUGUGUUUAAGCUCUUUAAACAUCUAGAAGAUAACUCAUUACGGAUCAUCACGGCGGAUGGGAGGCAGGACUAGAUUGCAGCUCUGGACAGAGCAGCUUCUGAAAGCUCACAUUGUGAAUUUUAGCUACAGAUUGACUGCAAGUACAAGCCAGCAAUCCCGAGAGGACCCACAGACCCUCUGAAGGAAGCAGACUGCUCCUGUGGGACCCAGGAGACACCCCAAAUACUAGAAUGAAUUAAGUUACAUUUCAAAGUAACCUUCCAGGGUCAUUAAAGCUAUUCUUCACCUGCUUCCAAUCAGAUUAAAGUAGAUCCAAAGAGCAGGACUGUGGAUAUUAUAUUCACUGCUACAUCCUCAACUCACUAUAGAACUUUUCAGUGUCAGUGGACAACAAGAAACAGAAGACUAAACUAUCAAGAUGGAGAAAACAUUUUUAAUCCUAUCUACUAAUGGAAACUACAUGUAGUUUAUCCAGAGCAGCCCCUAUGAAAUAAGAAGCAGCAUAGCAUAGUUAGGAGCAUAGAUUCUGGAACCAAAGUACCAGCUCCACUGCUUACCAGUGUGUGACCUCAGAAUACUUCCACUGGGUACAGACAUUCAGAGCUGGCAGUUAUUUGCUUCUCUGUGCAUUGAGGUUAUCGAUCUACUGCCUCCUAGCUUCCAGUUUCUAUUGUGCUAUCGAGAAGUUGACUGUCAGUCUAACCCUUAAUCCACUAAACAGAAUUAUGUUUUUCUCUAAAUCAUAUUUUUUCUGUAGCUUUAUUACAAUGUGUAUUUCAUUAUAUUUAACCUACUUGUGAUUUGUUGUGCUUAAGCCUAUUGAUUGCCUGUAAUCCCAGCACAAUGGGAGGCCGAGGCAGGCAGAUCACUUGAGGCCAGGAGUUCGAGACCAGCCUGGCCAACAUGGUGAGACCCUGUCUGUGCUAAAAAUACAAAAAUUAGCUAGGCGUGGUGGUACAUACCUGUAAUCCCAGCUACUCAGGAGGCUGAGGCAGGAAAAUCACUUGAACCCGGGAGCAGAGGUUGCAGUGAGCCGAGAUUUCACCACUGCACUCCGGCCUGGGCAACAGAGUGAGACGCUGUCUUAAAAAAAAACAAACAAACAACAAAAAAAAACUUGUUGAUUGUUGACUUUCAUUAUUUCUCAAAAAUUUUCUCCAAAUAUCCUCCUACCUAUUAUUUCUCUCCACUCUUUCUGAAAUGCUUAGUUAAGUUCAUGUUAGUCCUUACGAUCUUAUCUAGUAUUGUUUCUUCACCUAUUUUCCUCUCAUCUUUUUUACUUUCUGAUUCAUUCUGGAUAGUUUUUUUUUUUUUGCCUUAUCUGUCUGUACAUAAAUUUUCUCCAGGUUUGACUAACUUGUUCUAUUUGAUUCAUUUUCAAAUCUGCUAGAUCACAUUUGAUAGAUUUCUGUCCCCUGAAUCCAGUUUCAUUUUGCCUUUUAUUUAAAUAGUAAAUAGUGUUGUUUUACAGACUGUCAUAAUUCUAGUAUCUAUAGAUUUGCAGGAUUUCUUUUGAUUAUAGUGUCUGCUGGUUCUAAUCUGUAAUACUUCAUUUCUUUGUGUUGUCUUUGACUGUAUGCUGUAUAUUAUUAUAUGCUGUAUGUAAUACCCUAAAAAGGCUGGGCAUGGUGGCUCACGCCUGUAAUCCCAGCACUUUGGGAGGCCAAGGCUGGUGGAUCACCUGAGGUCAGGAGUUCAAGACCAGCCUGGCCAAUAUGGCAAAACCUUGUCUCUACUAAAAAAUAUAAAAAAUUAGCCAGGCAUGGUAGCAGCACCUGUAAUUCCAGCUACUCAGGAGGCUGAGGCAGGGAGAGUUGCUUGAACUUGGGAGGAGGAGGUUGCAGUGAGCCGAGAUUGUGCCACUGCACUUCAGCCUGGGUGACAGAGUGAGACUCCAUCUCAAAAUAAAUAAAUAAAUAAAUAAAGUAUUAUUUGUAGAAAUAACUUGAAGCCUG
rnacentral:lncRNA from 10 species